GGCCCAGUGGCGCAGUUGGUUAGCGCGUCGCCCUGUCAAGGCGAAGGUCGCGGGUUCAAGUCCCGUCUGGGUCG
rnacentral:tRNA from 1 species